rnacentral:rRNA from 1 species
UACAGGGGUCUCAAGCGUUUGUUCGGAUUCAUUGGGCGUAAAGGGUGCGUAGGCUGUGGGGUAAGUCUGGUGUGAAAUCCCGGGGCUCAACCCCGGAACUGCACUGGAUACUGCUUUACUAGAGCACUGGAGAGGGAACUGGAAUUUACGGUGUAGCAGUGAAAUGCGUAGAUAUCGUAAGGAAGACCAGUGGCGAAGGCGGGUCUCUGGACAGUUCCUGACGCUGAGGCACGAAGGCCAGGGGAGCAAACGGG